CUGAAACAGGUUGUCACUGGCAGGCAGCAAAGCAGGAGGUGUGGAAACGGGCGGCCGUGUCGUCAGAUGGAGGUUUCUGAAAGUUCAAGGGAGCCAUGGUUACAAACACCUCCUGUACGGUCAGGCCCUUGGGCGCAGUGCGGGGACACUGGGCGGGAAGAGAAGAACCCCAGACUCCUGUUGGAACCAGGAUGCUGCCCUGGAAUUGCUGCAGGCUCCCUGGGAUCCCUGGCUGUGUCGUGGAAAAGACACUUAGGCUGGAGACUGAGACUCUAGUCCAGACUUUCUGCUUCCUGAUUAUGUCAUCUUAAGUCAUGUGACCUCUCUGAGUUUCUGUUUCUUCAUUGGUAAAACCAAGAAGAUGAUAGUGAUGACGAUAUUACUUACCUGGCUUACCUUAAAAGUGCUGACUGGGACAAUGAUGUUGCACCUAUUUAGGGGGGUUUAUUUGCUAUCUAUCUCUUCUUGGGUGAAGUGACCAUUCAAAUCUUUCACCCAUUAAAAAAAAAAAGUGAAAGUGAAAACACAACAGAUUGUUGGACUUCUCUGGUGGUCCAGUGGUUAAGAAUCUGCCUGCCAAUGCAGGGGAGAUGGAUUCAACCCCUGGUCCAGGAAGACUCCAUAUACUGAGGGGCAACUAAGCCUGUGUGUGAUAACUGCUGACACCCGCACACUCCAGAGCCUGUGUUCUGCGACAAGAGAAGCCACUACAACGGGAGGCCUGCUGACCACAACUAGAGAGUAGCCCCUACUUGCUGGAAGUAGAGAAAGCCCUCAGGCAGCAACAAAGACCAGGCACAAUCAAAAAAUAAAACACAUACCUUUAAAAAAUGAUUGUUUGUU
rnacentral:lncRNA from 1 species